rnacentral:rRNA from 4 species
UUAAAACGACUCUCGGCAACGGAUAUCUCGGCUCUCGCAUCGAUGAAGAACGUAGCGAAAUGCGAUACUUGGUGUGAAUUGCAGAAUCCCGUGAACCAUCGAGUCUUUGAACGCAAGUUGCGCCCGAAGCCUUCGGGCCGAGGGCACGUCUGCCUGGGCGUCACGC